UCCUGCUGGUUUAGCAUAAGGAACUAAAGAAUUAAGAAAAGCAGACUUCCUUCCUGCUUUUUUUAGUGCGACUCUAGCAGUUUUAUCAGUUACUUUAUUAGCAGUUAUUCAUAAAUUCCAGUUUUUAAGUUUUUUGUCAAGUUCAGUCGGAAGGAGAACAUGAAGACCCAUUAUCUGAUGAGCCUGUAAACUCGAAUUUAGAAAGACAUUUCAGUAAAUGCAAGUGAGACAAACAAGGAACAAUCAUAUUUUGUGAACCUGACACAAAGGAUGCAGACAGGAAGUACUAUCCACACAAAGAAAGGAGAAACAAAAGACAGUCCAGCAAGAUAAAGACAAAGCCUUCUGCACACUCCAUUGUGGUUGAAACUGUUUAGUACAGAAAGA